rnacentral:rRNA from 1 species
AGGGUGCAAGCGUUACUCGGAAUUACUGGGCGUAAAGCGCACGUAGGCGGAUAUUUAAGUCAGGGGUGAAAUCCCAGAGCUCAACUCUGGAACUGCCUUUGAUACUGGGUAUCUUGAGUAUGGAAGAGGUAAGUGGAAUUCCGAGUGUAGAGGUGAAAUUCGUAGAUAUUCGGAGGAACACCAGUGGCGAAGGCGGCUUACUGGUCCACAACUGACGCUGAGGUGCGAAAGCGUGGGGAGCAAACAGG